GAGUGGGUGAGCCUCUGAAAGCGCGGGUGUGAGUUCCAGAAAUGAGGAGAGACUGGCACCAAGAAAAAAAGUGCCUUGCCCAUCUUUUCCUACUGAGAAAUGGAGAGGCCACCACCUGGAUCCAGUGAGCUAGGAGGGAUAGGAGAGAGGACUGUGAGGCAUGGGUGGCUCUAUGGUCACGCCCAUCUUCCUAUAGGUCAUCGACAUCCUGAGGGGGAAGGCCACCCGGCCUGCUUCCACCUCCCAGCCAGACCCCUCCCCUGACCGGAGCGCCAACACCUCCCCCGAGAGCAGCAGCCGCCUCAGCUCCAAUGGUCUUCUCUCCACAUCACCAUCCUCCUCACCCUCCCAGUCUCCCCCCAGGGACCCCCCUGGAUUCCCCAUGGCUCCUCCCAAUUUCUUCCUUCCUUCCCCAUCUCCACCCACCUUCCUGCCCUUUGCUGGG
rnacentral:sRNA from 1 species